GUGAAUCGGCGUCGUUGCCCCUCCCGUGCCUAACACCGCGGGCCCCUGGGUCCCCUGCGUGAUGCGCCUUUUCCCGAUGGGGCGCCGCCGCCUUCUUGCUCGAGCGCCGCCGCUGCGCCUUGCGCCACGGCCGCCGCCUCCUUCGCCGCUGCGCCGCACGCCGACGCUGCAGCGCCGCCGUUGCCGUCGCCGGAGAGCGCCGCCAUCACCGCGCCUAGCGCCGCGCCCAGGGCCCAGAUGUGCACUCCCUAUAGUACAUACUCAAUCCAGUGGAGUGGUGAGUACGAAGUUCCAGGCUCCUUUUAAUGCUAAACUAACUGGUUUAGGUUCAACAACAUGGGUUUCGGUCCACAAGAUAGCAUGGGACGAAGGUGUACUUGACUGAUGACAACAUGGGAAAAACUAAGACAAGGAAAAUUUCAUAUAUCCUUUCUUUAGAAAAAUAAUCCUUUCUUUAGAAAAAUGCUACUACAGAAAGCAGCCAAAGGUUACGGAGAGACGCUGGAUCGAACCUACAGCAAUAAUAUAGUGGGAAGACACAAAUCCUUCUAUUAACUAUGGUUUGUUAUUCACAAACCUAUUGACACGCCUUGUAGUCAAUCUUGGACCUUCACUGGUCGUUACCUUGUUCUUCUGAAAACUCAGAUCAGCUGCUCAGGGGCACAGGCAGCAAAUAGACGUGCUCCUUGGAUCCCUGAUCAGCUACCAUUUGGUGGCAGUGGCGGCACUCGACUCGGCACACGGCGGCUGGUUGCUCCUGCUGAUGAAGUGGUGAAUCCAGCUUCGAAUGCGGACUUCCAUUCAUCACCUGGACGGGGAGUACUCUCUGUAGAAAGGAUUGGCAAUUAAGUGCAUGGAAGAAGCUUAUCAAACUUUGCAGUACACUAUUGAUUUUUGCAGUAUAUAAAAAGGAAAUUCACA